GUGCUCCACAGCAGUCAUAGCAGGGGUGACCCCAGGAGGUACAGAGAGGUCACAGACUGCUUUACUGUGAAUCAAUGGUAUGAAGUCCACAACAAAGACAUGCUUCAUAAAAUGUACAGAGCAAAACAUUUGCAGGCAUGGAAUUAUGAG